AACGAACGCUGGCGGCAUGCCUAACACAUGCAAGUCGAACGAAACCUUCGGGUCUAGUGGCGCACGGGUGCGUAACGCGUGGGAACCUGCCCUUAGGUGCGGAAUAACUCCCCGAAAGGGGUGCUAAUACCGGAUAAUGUCUUCGGACCAAAGAUUUAUCGCCUUUGGAUGGUCCCGCGUUGGAUUAGCUAGUUGGUAGGGUAAAAGCCUACCAAGGCGACGAUGCAUAGCUGGUCUGAGAGGAUGAUCAGCCACACUGGGACUGAGACACGGCCCAGACUCCUACGGGAGGGAGCAGUGGGGAAUAUUGGACAAUGGGCGAAAGCCUGAUCCAGCAAUGCCGCGUGAGUGAUGAAGGCCUUAGGGUUGUAAAGCUCUUUUAACCGGGAUGAUAAUGACAGUACCGGGAGAAUAAGCCCCGGCUAACUCCGUG
rnacentral:rRNA from 1 species